rnacentral:rRNA from 1 species
UACGGAGGGUGCAAGCGUUGUCCGGAAUCACUGGGCGUAAAGGGCGCGUAGGCGGCUCAUGAAGGCUGUGGUGAAAGUCCGGGGCUCAACCUCGGAUCGGCCGUGGCGACUCGUGGGCUGGAGCACUGUAGAGGCGGGUGGAAUUCCGGGUGGAGUGGUGAAAUGCGUAGAGAUCCGGAAGAACACCGGUGGCGAAGGCGGCCUGCUGGGCUACUGCUGACACUGAGGCGCGACAGCGUGGGGAGCAAACAGG